GACGAACGCUGGCGGCGUGCUUAACACAUGCAAGUCGAACGGAAAGGCCCUGCUUUUGUGGGGUGCUCGAGUGGCGAACGGGUGAGUAACAUGUGAGUAACCUGCCCUUGACUUUGGGAUAACUUCAGGAAACUGGGGCUAAUACCGGAUAGGAGCUCCUGCUGCAUGGUGGGGGUUGGAAAGUUUCGGCGGUUGGGGAUGGACUCGCGGCUUAUCAGCUUGUUGGUGGGGUAGUGGCUUACCAAGGCUUUGACGGGUAGCCGGCCUGAGAGGGUGACCGGCCACAUUGGGACUGAGAUACGGCCCAGACGCCUACGGGAGGCAGCAGUGGGGAAUAUUGCACAAUGGGCGGAAGCCUGAUGCAGCAACGCCGCGUGCGGGAUGACGGCCUUCGGGGUGUAAACCGCUUUCGCCUGUGACGAAGCGUGAGUGACGGUAAUGGGUAAAGAAGCACCGGCUAACUACGUG
rnacentral:rRNA from 1 species